rnacentral:lncRNA from 1 species
AAAUCCUCCCCGAUGAUGAGCUCAAGGUCCGCCGAGUCAAGCGCCAGGUUUCCCGAUACCUCCUGUAUGAAGGCAUGCUAUACUGCAGGUCCUUCACAUCUCCGCUCCUCAGUGUUGGGAACCCGCCCAUGCCGCUGAUAUUUCAAAAAAAAUCAGAUGGCAGCGGAAGAGGCAUGUGCGGGAUCGACAUUCAUCGCAUGAACGUUGUUUCAUGAACCGUUCGUAGUUAGGCAAGGAUUAAAAACUUUUAAAAACAAUAGAAGAUCAGAUCUUCACCUUGUGCGGGUAGAUGGUCACCGCAAAUCUGAGUUCGUGGUUUAGGAAGAGGGUUCGCUUGAAGCCGUUCAAGUGUCCGGCCUCUACGGGUAUCCACACGAAGCAGAGAUCCGAUCAAAGCUCUCUAGUCUUCUCGGGGUGCUAGCUCCCUUGCAAAGACUUCUUUUGAUGGCUGAUUUUCUCUCUUUCUUUCAACUCUUGAAUGUACUUGAGAGGAGGAAGAAGGGUGAAGAAGAGAAGGAGGAAUGAACCCCACGCAGCCUUCUUUUCUUUUCCCUGCGUUGGAAGGAAGAAAGGAGGAGGCCGCCAAGGUUCUUUUUCUUCCUCUUCUUGCUUGCGGCUGAACCAAGGGAGGAAGAGGGGUGGCCACGGCUUGGAGGAGGAGGAAUCACAUUCAUCUAGGGCGCCGGCCCCUUGUCCUCUUUUAUAGCCAUCUAGGGCUCCUACAAAUUAGGAGCCCUAGACAAGUUUCCAAAGAGGGGGCGCCGGCCCCCUCUCUUCAUGCCGCACCAAGAGAUCAAAAGAGGA